GACGAACGCUGGCGGCGUGCUUAACACAUGCAAGUCGAACGGAAAGGCCCUGCUUUUGUGGGGUGCUCGAGUGGCGAACGGGUGAGUAACACGUGAGUAACCUGCCCUUGACUUUGGGAUAACUUCAGGAAACUGGGGCUAAUACCGGAUAGGAGCUCCUGCUGCAUGGUGGGGGUUGGAAAGUUUCGGCGGUUGGGGAGGGACUCGCGGCUUAUCAGCGUGUUGGUGGGGUAGUGGCUUACCAAGGCUUUGACGGGUAGCCGGCCUGAGAGGGUGACCGGCCACAUUGGGUCUGAGAUACGGCCCAGACUCCUACGGGAGGCAGGAGUGGGGAAUAUUGCACAAUGGGCGGAAGCCUGAUGCAGCAACGCCGGGUGCGGGAUGACGGCCUUCGGGUGGUAAACCGCUUUCGCCUGUGACGAAGCGUGAGUGACGGUAAUGGGGAAAGAAGCACCGGCUAACUACGU
rnacentral:rRNA from 1 species